CUGUACNUUCUCNCANAANAAGCACCGGCUAACUCCGUGCCAGCAGCCGCGGUAAUACGGAGGGUGCAAGCGUUAAUCGGAAUUACUGGGCGUAAAGCGCACGCAGGCGGUUGGAUAAGUUAGAUGUGAAAGCCCCGGGCUCAACCUGGGAAUUGCAUUUAAAACUGUCCAGCUAGAGUCUUGUAGAGGGGGGUAGAAUUCCAGGUGUAGCGGUGAAAUGCGUAGAGAUCUGGAGGAAUACCGGUGGCGAAGGCGGCCCCCUGGACAAAGACUGACGCUCAGGUGCNAAAGCGUGGGGAGCAAACAGGAUUANAUACCCUGGUAGUCCANGGNCGAAUUC
rnacentral:rRNA from 1 species